rnacentral:rRNA from 1 species
CUUGAACGCUAGCGGGAUGCUUUACACAUGCAAGUCGAACGAGUGGCGGACGGGUGUGUCAUAUAUCGGAACGUGCCCAGUAGCGGGGGAUAUCUACUCGAAAGAGUGGCUAAUACCGCAUUUACUUGGGACGGCCGAUAUCGGAUUAGCUAGUUGGUGGGGUAAAGGCUUACCAAGGCAACGGUCCGUGGCUGGUUUGAGAGGACGACCAGCCAGGCUUGGACGGUGACACGGCCCAGAUGCCAACGAUAGGCGGCAGUGGGGAAUUUUGGACGAUGGGGGAAGCCCUGAUGCAGACAUCCCGCGUGUAUGAGAAGGCCUGCGGGUUGUAAAGUACUUGUGGCAGAGAAGCGGUAUCUGCAGAAUAAGCACCGGCUAACUACGUGCCAGCAGCCGCGGUAAUUC